rnacentral:rRNA from 1 species
CCUACGGGAGGCAGCAGUGGGGGAUAUUGCACAAUGGGGGGAACCCUGAUGCAGCGACGCCGCGUGGGUGAAGGAGCGUUUCGGCGCGUAAAGCCCUAUCGGCAGGGAAGAAGGAGGACGGUACAGGACUAAGAAGCCCCGGCUAACUACGUGCCAGCAGCCGCGGUAAUACGUAGGGGGCAAGCGUUAUCCGGAUCAACUGGGUGUAAAGGGGGCGCAGACGGCAGCGCAAGACAGGAGGGAAAGCCCGGGGCUCAACCCCGGUACUGCUCUUGGAACUGCGCGGCUGGAGGGCAGGAGGUGCAGGCGGAAUUCCUGGUGUAGCUGUGAAAUGCGUAGAUAUCAGGAGGAACACCGGUGGCGAAGGCGGCCUGCUGGACUGCGACUGACGUCGAGGCCCGAAAGCGUGGGGAGCAAACAGGAGUAGAUACCCUUGUAGUC